rnacentral:rRNA from 1 species
GACGGGGGGUCCAAGCGUUGUUCGGAAUCAUUGGGCGUAAAGCGGGCGUAGGUGGCCAUGUAAGUCAGGAGUGAAAGCCCUGGGCUCAACCCAGGAAGUGCUCUUGAUACUGCAUGGCUUGAAUGUGGGAGAGGGUAGUGGAAUUCCAGGUGUAGUGGUGAAAUACGUAGAUAUCUGGAGGAACACCGGUGGCGAAGGCGGCUACCUGGCCCAACAUUGACACUGAGGCCCGAAAGCGUGGGGAUCGAAACAGGACUAGGAUACCC